rnacentral:lncRNA from 1 species
AUGCGGUGGGUUCUUUCCUCUAGGGUUCCGGAGCCGAGAGAAGGCACCUUCACUAAAGAUGAGUCUCCCUCUCCUUCGGAUUCCUUAGAAGAGAUCAUCAGGAGCCUGGAGAAGAUGGAGAGGGAGCCCGUGUUCAGUCCAGAGAGGGUCUCCGAGCGACAGGAGGAUUCAUUCACCAUGGAAAAGGCUCUCUCCCCUUCGGAUUCCUUAGAAGACCUCAUCAGGAGCCUGGAGCGAGAGGAGUGGUAGCCUUGGUCUGACACCGCAAGGCCUUGAUGAAAACUGCGGAGCAACCAGGACCCUGCAGCCUGGCGACUUGCUCCUGAGAUGAAGGGUGACCUCCAGAAGGCUUUCUCCCUGCUCCUAUCUGGACACAGGAUGCUGCAGACAGGUAAGGAAAAGAGCUGGAAGAAAACAAAGUCUUCUCCACUGAAGAGGCUCUCUAGUGAGGUGUAGGGCUGAGUUUGCUUUAGACAGGGCCUCCAUGGAAGGG